UUGAUCCCCCACUCCUCCACCUGAGUGGCAGAGGCUUAUCUGGUGAACUAGAUGUUUUUCUGCAUGCCUACAUUCCUGAUGGGUGACCUUGGGCUAGUCACAGUUCUUCUGAAUUCUCUCACCCCCAGCUACCUCACACAGUUUCUGUUAUUGGGAGAGGAAGGGAAAGGAGUUUGGAAGUCCCUUUGAGUCUCCUU